AAAAAGAAAAAAAGAAGAAAGUAGCUAUCUUACUAUCAGUUGGUUUUAGUUCUACGACACCAAAAUUUCUGGCCUUUUUAUGCUUAAUUGGCCUUAUGAAAAUAAUCCCCUUCUGUAAAAAUUCUACCACAAAUAGUACCAAUUUCCAAAUCUCUGUUCACGCAGGUUUAUCACUUUCUGGGAAUGUGACAGAUCCCUCUUGGCCUCCAGUUGUGUGGUAUUAGAGAUACUAGAUUGUCCCUUUGUUUUGUUUUGUUUUUUUGUCCCUAUUUUUUUUUAAAGAUGUAUUUAUUUGAGAGGGAGAGCUGGCUAGUAGGGAACAGGGCAGAGGGAAAGGGAGAGAAAGAAUCUCAGGCAGACUCCCCACUGAGCACAGAGCUCACUCUCACAACCCAUGAGAUCAUGACCUGAGCCGAAGUCAGAGUCAGAUGCUUCAGUGACUGAGCCACCCAGUUGCCCCUGAAGUGUCCCUGUUGAUAUAUUAUUAUUGACUAAUAUAUUUAUUAAGAAAUCAACUCCAAGUGAAAAUCAUUAGUAAAGAUUUGAUUGGCUGCUGGUGAAGUGGUGUUUCAGUGCCUCCUUCUGCACUGGUAGGUCCUGGGCCGCAGGGCCAGUUGUGACAUCGGCCUGUUCAGCAUAAGCUCUGCCCACUGUGCGUAUUAGUAUCACAUCCUUAAAAUGCAUGAAGAGAUUGAUUCCUGACUUCUGGAUUCCCAGCUGCAACCACUCCUGCUGUGACAUGAAUUCCGCACUAAACAAAGGCUGGCAUUUGGGGACUGUUGGAGCUAAUGAUAGGGUUUGAUUUAUUUUGUAGUAGGAACUUGGGUCUUGGCUGAGCUAAGGGUAUUCCCAGACUUAUCUCCUUGGGACUAAAACAAAGUAUCUUUCAUAGAUCGAUUCUGUUUCAAAACUUGGUAAGGUGGGGCGCUGUUAACCUAGCUCUUUUUUUGGAACCAUUUGACGUGAACAUUUGUUAGGCCUCACAGGUAACAGCUCACACAACAAUCCCCCCUACUCAGUGAGCCACUUGCUUCAAAUUGCUACAUGAAAAGAAAGCUGGCAGGGCAAGAUUUAGGGGAAAGGAAGGAAGUCACAGAUUGUCAACAAGGAUUAGUCUCAAAACUGUGGAACUUUCCUUUUUGACAUUUGGAAACAUCCAUAGCGCUUCUCUUCUUAAACGUUAAUGUCUUCUGUCUCUAAACCAAUUCCUGUCAUUGAGGAAGGAAAGGGAUCUUGAUUUUAUAAACAAGUAGCCCCUCUGGGGGUUCAGUUUUGCCAUUAUCUACAUCCUGUGAGAGUGGUAUUAAAAGAACUGAGAGAAUAACCCAGGGUUGGACUCCUGGAGGUCGACCUUCACCCUGUAAUCUUCCUGGCGAGGUGAAUGGCCUGUGUCAUUAAAUGUUAUGCAAGGCUUGCCUUUGGAAGAAAUGCUAUUGGACCUUUUCUCCUGGGGGUCUGGAUUCUAGGCCAACUGGGAAUGAGGUUUGGGUUUUCUGUAGAUGGGCCCUGCAGAUCCGUUUCCCUGGCCUCAUGGUUUUCCCUUGGGUUUUUUUUUUUUUUUUUAAAGAUUUUAUUUAUUUAUAUGACAGACAGAAAUCACAAGUAGGCAGAGAAGCAGGCAGAGAGAGAGGAAGGAAGCAGGCUCCCCGAUGAGCAGAGAGCCGGAUGUGGGGCUUGAUCCCAGGACCCUGGGAUCAUGACCUGAGCUGAAGGCAGAGGCUUUAACCCACUGAGCCACCCAGGCGCCCCUCCCUUGGGUUUUUUAAAGGAGAACGUCUGCACGUCUGUUUUAGUUCCCUUUCUGCUACCAAUGCUCACUCCUCUAAUUCCUUGGGCAGUUAUAGCAAAAACCUUCAGUGUGAACUACUCACCAACAAGGCAGCUGGAAAAUCCCCAGAUUUGGCAGUUGUGCCCCGAAAUCCCAACCCCCUUCUGCUUCCAUGACCUGCAUAUAAAUUCAGAUCCCUUUGAGAAGUCUGCAGGUUUGGAAAAGCACUACCUGCUCCUAGAAUCUUGGAUUUGAACCUCAUUCUGGACAGCGAAUGACAAGGAAGGAGUAGCUCUAUUCUACCCAGUUAAACACUAGAUAGAAUUUUUUAUAGCAGUGGAGUCAGUUCCUUGGAUUGGAUUCAAGGUUUUCGCUCUGGGGAGGGAUUGAGUCUGCAGUAGGAAAGCAGAGACUUUCAAGUGAAGCCUGGUCUGUGUGUGCCCCAGGAACUAAUGAAGAUUGACUGACUCGUUCGCAAGUUCUCAGUCUCUGAGUGGGUGGAAUGUCCCCUCACCCCCACUCCCAGACUGCCUGACUAUACCCUUUCCAGCCUGAAGUUUUGUCCCAGUCAUUCUACAGCCAAGUAAACAGCCACCUACCUGCUCGCCACCUGGGAAGCCCUUCCUGCAGCUCACCAGUGAUCGGGCCUGUUUCUUGGCAUCCAGAAAAAGGAGAAGUUUCCUCACUGAAAG